GACGAACGCUGGCGGCGUGCUUAACACAUGCAAGUCGAACGGUGAACCUCUUCUUGGGCGAUCAGUGGCGGACGGGUGAGUAACACGUGGCCAACCUGCCCCCGGCUCUUGGAUAACUCCAAGAAAUUGGGGCCAAUACCACAUGUUCACCGCUUCCCGCGUAGGUGGUGGUGAAAAGGGUUUCCGGCUAGGGCUGGGCCCUCGGCCUAUGAGCUUGUUUGUUGGGUAGUGGGCUUCCAAGGCGACGGCGGAUAGCCGGCCUGGGAGGGUAGCCAGCCACACUAGGCCUGCGGGAGGGCGCAGACUCGAACGGGAGGCAGCGGUGGAGAAUCUUGCGCAAUGGGCGGACGUCUGAGGAGGAGACCCCGCGUGGGGGAAGCCGGCCUUCGGGUUGUAAACCUCUUUAAGCAGGGACGAAGCGCAAGUGACGGUACCUGCAGAAGAAGCACCGGCCAACUACGUG
rnacentral:rRNA from 1 species